rnacentral:rRNA from 1 species
AAUAGAUACCCCCGGUAGUCCACGCCGUAAACUAUGAGAGCUAGCCGUUGGGGGGUUUACCCUUCAGUGGCGCAGCUAACGCAUUAAGCUCUCCGCCUGGGGAGUACGGUCGCAAGAUUAAAACUCAAAGGAAUUGACGGGGGCCCGCACAAGCGGUAGAGCAUGUGGUUUAAUUCGAAGCAACGCGAAGAACCUUACCAGCCCUUGACAUGGCAGGACGAUUUCCGGAGACGGAUCUCUUCACUUCGGUGACCUGCACACAGGUGCUGCAUGGCUGUCGUCAGCUCGUGUCGUGAGAUAUUGGGUUAAGUCCCGCAACGAGCGCAACCCUCGCCUUUAGUUGCCAUCAUUUAGUUGGGCACUCUAGAGGGACUGCCGGUGAUAAGCCGGAGGAAGGUGGGGAUGACGUCAAGUCUUCAUGGCCCUUACGGGCUGGGCUACACACGUGCUACAAUGGCGGUGACAGAGGGCAGCUAGACCGCGAGGUCAUGCUAAUCCCUAAAAGCCGUCUCAGUUCGGAUUGCACU